rnacentral:rRNA from 1 species
AAACAAGUGAAUUGCAGAAUUCCGCGAAUCAUCGAGUCUUUGAACGCAAGUUGCGCCCGAGGCUUGUCCAAGGGCAUUUCCGCUAGAGCGUCACC